AAGCAUCUAUACGGUGAAACUGCGAAUGGCUCAUUAAAUCAGUCAUAAUUUAUUUGAUAGUACCAUUCUACUUGGAUAACCGUGGUAAUUCUAGAGCUAAUACAUGCUAAAAACCCCGACUUCGGAAGGGGUGUAUUUAUUAGAUAAAAAACCAAUGCCCUUCGGGGCUCCUUGGUGAUUCAUGAUAACUUAACGAAUCGCAUGGCCUUGUGCCGGCGAUGGUUCAUUCAAAUUUCUGCCCUAUCAACUUUCGAUGGUAGGAUAGUGGCCUACCAUGGUUUCAACGGGUAACGGGGAAUUAGGGUUCUAUUCCGGAGAGGGAGCCUGAGAAACGGCUACCACAUCCAAGGAAGGCAGCAGGCGCGCAAAUUACCCAAUCCCGACACGGGGAGGUAGUGACAAUAAAUACUGAUGCAGAGCUCUUUUGGGUUUUGCAAUUGGAAUGAGUACAAUUUAAAUCCCUUAACGACGAACAAUUGGAGGGCAAGUCUGGUGCCAGCAGCC
rnacentral:rRNA from 1 species